ensembl:lncRNA
AUGCUUUCCAUAAACUCUGAAAACGGAUACAGUGUUGCCAGAUGUUUCUUGCUUUUGUCGCUUAUGCCCCUCAUCACUGCAAAGGGAAAUGAUGUGGAGAGUCCAAAAAAGGUAAGGGUGGACACGUUUACUGUUGUGUAUCAGAGUAUGACUGCACAUUGAUUUUAAACUGUAGAUCUGUAAUAUCCCAUUCUUCUUUUUUUUUUUUGGCAUGCUUGCCUUAAGACCCAUCACUGCUUGUUUAUCCAGCACUAUGAAUGCAAGCUUACCAUUACACCCCUAAUAUAUGUAAUAUACACUUGCCUGGAGGAAAGAAGUUGCAGUGUUUAACUUUUCAUUCCUCAAACAACCAUGUUGGAAGACGUACUCAUAUACAUAUUGCAUGAUGAAAAUGUCAAGUUUCAUUGGACUCAUCAUACUGUUGCUCACAAGGCAAAAAUUUAAUUUAUCAGUUAUCUCCGAAAACAUAGCCUACUGUUUAUUAUCGGUUAUCAUUAGUUGCCAAGAAGAGCAUCCCUGAGUUAAUUUAAUCUCUGCAUUUUAAUCACUACUUGUUGCUUAUUUGGUAGCACAUCUAUCUUCAAAUUGUCAGGCUGUGUCAUUGUCUUGCAAUAAGCAUUGCAUUGAGUUUGUCUAACUAUAAGAGACUUUGACAGGGGCCUUCACAGCUGAAAUGCUGAGAGAAUGAUCCUCGCCGCAAGUAAUGCUAGUCUCUUUUAUUGCGUCAGCCAUUUCUGCUUUCCCCUGAUAGGUUUCACGGUUAAUGUAUUCGUUUUCUGCUGUCACUUUUAUGAGUUUUAAGUAGAAAUGCCACUGACAUUCUGGGUCAGGAGAGGGAAUGAGGGACAGAGAGGAGGGGAAGAGAAGGUGACUGCAUUGGAAUUGGUGGAAAGGAAGAUGUAAUAUGCUUGUGUUUAGACCUUGACCUGGGGUCAGAUGUGUUUGUAUGUCUUGGGUUUUUAGUCAUUUUUUUUUUUUUUUUUGUUAUUUCGUUCUCUUUUCUUCAAGCAGGUGAAAUUAAAAGUUUGUUACCCUCAGUAUGGUUGAAGGUUCAUGCAUUCAUGGUCGAUUGAAUGUAAAUAAAGGAUAACCAUUCCUGUACUUUCUAUCA